rnacentral:rRNA from 1 species
CCUACGGGAGGCAGCAGUGGGGAAUAUUGGACAAUGGGGGCAACCCUGAUCCAGCCAUGCCGCGUGUGUGAAGAAGGCCCUCGGGUUGUAAAGCACUUUCAGUGAGGAAGAACGCCUGGUGGUUAAUACCCAUCAGGAAAGACAUCACUCUCAGAAGAAGCACCGGCUAACUCCGUGCCAGCAGCCGCGGUAAUACGGAGGGUGCGAGCGUUAAUCGGAAUUACUGGGCGUAAAGCGCGCGUAGGUGGCUUGAUAAGCCGGUUGUGAAAGCCCCGGGCUCAACCUGGGAACGGCAUCCGGAACUGUCAAGCUAGAGUGCAGGAGAGGAAGGUAGAAUUCCCGGUGUAGCGGUGAAAUGCGUAGAGAUCGGGAGGAAUACCAGUGGCGAAGGCGGCCUUCUGGACUGACACUGACACUGAGGUGCGAAAGCGUGGGUAGCAAACAGGAUUAGAUACCCUGGUAGUC